rnacentral:rRNA from 1 species
UACGGAGGGUGCUAGCGUUGCUCGGAAUCACUGGGCGUAAAGGGUGCGUAGGCGGGUCUUUAAGUCAGGGGUGAAAUCCUGGAGCUCAACUCCAGAACUGCCUUUGAUACUGAAGAUCUUGAGUUCGGGAGAGGUGAGUGGAACUGCGAGUGUAGAGGUGAAAUUCGUAGAUAUUCGCAAGAACACCAGUGGCGAAGGCGGCUCACUGGCCCGAUACGGACGCUGAGGCACGAAAGCGUGGGGAGCAAACAGG